UAGCCCUACGGGAGGCAGCAGUGAGGAAUAUUGGUCAAUGGUCGGGAGACUGAACCAGCCAAGCCGCGUGAGGGAUGAAGGUACAGAGUAUCGUAAACCUCUUUUGUCAGGGAACAAAGGCGGGGACGUGUCCCCGGAUGAGUGUACCUGAAGAAAAAGCAUCGGCUAACUCCGUGCCAGCAGCCGCGGUAAUACGGAGGAUGCGAGCGUUAUCCGGAUUUAUUGGGUUUAAAGGGUGCGCAGGCGGUCUGUUAAGUCAGCGGUCAAAGCCCGGGGCUCGACCCCGGCCCCCCGUGGAAACGGGG
rnacentral:rRNA from 1 species